AUUUCGUACAAUUCCAUGGUGACUAUUUUUCAAAAGAGAGCUUUGUUAUCCAAAAAGUUCUGGCGCUCGUCAAAAAUAGUAGAGAAGUGGACGAAAUACCUGAUGAAGUUCUACAAUAUUUUGUGAAAACUAGGACGUAUAUAAGAGUCCGAGAAAUAAAUCGACGAUCAUUCGCGAUGAUAAGCGAAAAGAAGAAGAAAGCGAAAAAAAUGAAAAAAAUCAUUUCCAGCGCAGCUACGAAAACAGUCGAUAAACGCGAACAUUAAAGAACAUACAUCUACAUACAUCAAUGAUAUAUCUUCUGUCAUCAAUCAUAUGCUUGAUAUGUUCUUCGUUGUCGACUACCGGAUUUUCGUGCUACUCUUCGAUCAUCGACUUCAUCUCUUCGACUUCAUCUGCAUGCCCAUGUUUCAUCUCGCCCUUGAUAAAGAAAAAGUUCUGCUUAAGUAACGUAAGAAUUGUCGCACUUACGUAUCUGCCGCCAAGUCCUCGGAUGCUUCUAUCUCGUCGGAAGCUGAUAUGCGACUGUUGACAGCGUUAUAUCGCUUAUAUUGGCACAUUUGGAAAUUAUUGAAUACCUACAAAUAAAAAUACGAAAUUACUUCAAAAGUUAUUGAAUUAUUUCGCCGAUGUCUUACCUUGCCAAAUUGAGAUGCGAUUGCAUGCAACAUUGACGAUAAUGAAGCCGUUCAGAGAGUGAAGCGCGUAGUAAUAUCGGGAAAUCAAGUGAUGACGUACAUCAACGUAUAUUCUAUUCUUCCGGGCGAAGUGAUCGACAGGAGAUAUCUGCGGAAAAUGUAUUAUAAAAUGUUUCAGUGAAACAUUUAUUUACUAUCCAUCGGUCCAGGCCCACGUGUAGGACAUUAAGAUUUAAUAGAUGCCGAUCCUUGUGCACACCACUCCUGCCGAGCAGGACCACGUUGUUGGCGAAUAAAUAUUGUCCGCGAUACCAGUAUGAGCUGGAGAAGCUCUUAAUUUGAUACGCUUGCAAAGUCAUGACAUUAUGUGUUACGACAAUAAUGUGUUUGUAAGUAGCGCAAUAUAGAGUCCCGAAUCUGGAGGUAAGUGGCAAUAUGCAACAGGGUAUGUACGAACCAAAGGCUCGCGUGUUGGACGAGUUGUUUGAUCCUUUACACGUAUUGCUGAGAGCAGUCCAUAGAAGAUACUUCCAAGUGUCUAUGGAUCGUGUUAACGAUAAUCCCUUGUGUUAUUACAUAUGAGGAUAGUGUUUGUAAAAAUACAUUAUCUCCCGUCAAAAUGUAAAGAUAACUUAAAAAAAAUGUCUAAAUAAAUAUAACUUACCAGAU